rnacentral:rRNA from 1 species
CGCGUAGGCGGGAUAUUAAGUCUGAGGUGAAAGUUUGCGGCUUAACCGUAAAAUUGCCUUGGAUACUGGUAUUCUUGAGUUCGGAAGAGGGAAGUGGAAUUCCUGGUGUAGCGGUGAAAUGCGUAGAUAUCAGGAAGAACACCGGUGGCGAAGGCGGCUUCCUGGUCCGAUACUGACGCUGAUGCGCGAAAGCGUGGGGAGCAAACA